CCGCCCCCGGCCCGCCGGGAGGGAGGGAGGGCGGCUCAGCCCGGCCCGGCCCGGCCCGGCCCCCCUCAGAGCUUUUUGCAGCGUGAGGUGGAAGAUGAAGCUCCGGGGCUGAGGAGCCGCAGCUGGGAGGGAGCUGGAACUCAGAGUCGGGAGAGGCGGCGCCGUGCCCGGGGCAGGAUCCAUGGCCAGGCCGAGCGAGCUCUGAGUGCGCGGCGGAUUUGGGAUCCCCUUCCAUGGCAAUGUAUCCUACAAGGGUCUCGGGCGAGGAAUGCAACGGCAUCAACGCCAUGGCGGCCGAGAGCGGCCCGGGCACGCGGCUGCGGAACCUGCCCGUGCUGCCAG